rnacentral:lncRNA from 1 species
CCGGACAUGAGUUUACAUCUAAGGAAGACAGCUGGGUAGAGAGCUGAUAUCUAGAGAAAUAGGAGACGAGUCUCCAUGAACUUCGUUGACUGCCUUCAGAGAGCAGUAAUAUGUCACAUGAGAAGUGUACCUUCGAAUCCUGUCCAGAGGAGGCUGCUGGCACUCACCUGUGAAACUCAUGCCUUCAGAUGCACAUUUUACGGGGUCUUUGAUU